CUAAGUUCUAAUAACUUUCCUGCGCACCUACUACAAACGAGGAUUUGUAUUUAACGUAUUUUAGCAACAUAAAGCAUCAAACGGUAUAAAUCAAAAGAGUCAGCAGUCAAGGAAUAAGAGAAGUUAUAACCACUCAACAACACAUAUUCGUUACUUGUUUUUAAAAUACAUACUUGCCUUAUU